rnacentral:rRNA from 1 species
AUUGAACGCUGGCGGCAGGCCUAACACAUGCAAGUCGAGCGAGCGGCGGACGGGUGAGUAAUGUAAGGGGGCUGCCCGAUAGAGGGGGAGUACGACUACAAACGGUAGCUAAGACCACAUACUAUCGGAUAACGCAGAUGGGAUUAGCUAGUAGGUGAGGUAAUGGCCUACCCAGGCGACGAUCCCUAGCUGGUCUGAGAGGAUGAUCAGCCACACUGGGACUGAGACACGGCCCAGACUCCUACGGAGGCAGCAGUGGGGAAUAUUGCACAAUGGGCGCAAGCCUGAUGCAGCCAUGCCGCGUGUAUGAAGAAGGCCCUAGGGUUGUAAAGUACUUUCAGUCGGGAGGCGUUACCGACAGAAGAAGCACCGGCUAACUCCGUGCCAGCAGCCGCGGUAAUUC